rnacentral:rRNA from 1 species
UACGUAGGGACCAAGCGUUGUUCGGAUUUACUGGGCGUAAAGGGCGCGUAGGCGGCGCUGUAAGUCACUUGUGAAAUCUCCGGGCUUAACUCGGAACGGUCAAGUGAUACUGCAGUGCUAGAGUGCAGAAAGGGCAAUCGGAAUUCCAGGUGUAGCGGUGAAAUGCGUAGAUAUCUGGAGGAACACCGGUGGCGAAGGCGGCAUCCUGGACCAACACUGACACUGAGGAGCGAAAGCCAGGGGAGCAAACGGG